GCGCCCGUAGCUCAACUGGAUAGAGCGUCGGCCUCCGGAGCCGAAGGCUGUAGGUUCGAGCCCUACCGGGCGUA
rnacentral:tRNA from 1 species